UAGCGUAGGGCGCAAGCGUUAUCCGGAAUUAUUGGGCGUAAAGGAGCUCGUAGGCGGUUUGUCGCGUCUGCCGUGAAAGUCCGGGGCUCAACUCCGGAUCUGCGGUGGGUACGGGCAGACUAGAGUGAUGUAGGGGAGACUGGAAUUCCUGGUGUAGCGGUGAAAUGCGCAGAUAUCGAGGAGGAACACCGAUGGCGAAGGC
rnacentral:rRNA from 1 species